rnacentral:lncRNA from 1 species
CACUUCUCUCCACUCAGUUUGUGUGAGUUUCACAACUAGACUAUUUAAAAACGUAAAAACAUAACUAUUGAUAUAAAUUUAAUCAAUAGUUGAUAUUGUUUACUACCAACAUAAUUCCACUUUCUACGACAGGUCUUAUAUGUUGAGCCAAGAGGGGGAGUCUCAUUGGGUUAGAUCAUAACAUUGUGCUAAGAGCAACUAUUCAAGCGAGUUGGUCAUCUUCACAAAAACUUUAAGACAUUAAGUUUAUGA